GCUAGGCGCUGGCGGCGUGUUUCCUACCUUAAGUCGAGCGGACCGAUGAAGAGCUUGCUCUUCGGCGGUUAGCGGCGGAGGGGUGAGUAACACGUAGGCAACCUGCCUGUACGACUGGGAUAACUCCGGGAAACCGGAGCUAAUACCGGAUACGUUUUUCAGACCGCAUGGUCUGAAAGAGAAAGACCUUUGGUCACGUACAGAUGGGCCUGCGGCGCAUUAGCUAGUGGGGGGGGGAACGGGCUACCAAGGCGACGAUGCGUAGCCCACCUGAGAGGGUGAUCGGCCACACUGGGACUGAGACACGGCCCACACUCCUACGGGAGGCAGCAGUAGGGAAUCUUCCCCAAUGGACAAAAGUCUGACGGAGCAACGCCCCGUGAACGAUGAAGGUUUUCGGAUCGUAAAGUUCUGUUGUUAGGGAAGAACCGCCGGGAUGACCUCCCGGUCUGACGGUACCUAACGAGCAAGCCACGGCUAACUACGUGCCAGCAGCCGCGGUAAUACGUAGAGGGCAA
rnacentral:rRNA from 1 species